AAAAGCUCUUAUGAAAUGGGCCAACACGCUGUUCGCCGCCAUAAGACUUGAUUUUUCUCAUGUUCAUAUCUUUAAUGAAUAGCCUUGGAGCUCUAGAUACACAAAGAGGGGAUUCAGCCAUCUAAUCGUCUGAGAUCAACGAGUUCCAUUUAUACGCCCAUUCUUCACCGGUUUAGAGAGUAAACUUCGGCAGAACUCCGGUCAAGCGCUAUCGAAU
rnacentral:misc_RNA from 1 species